rnacentral:rRNA from 1 species
GAUGAACGCUGGCGGCGUGCCUAAUACAUGCAAGUCGAGCGAACGGACGAGAAGCUUGCUCUUCUGAUGUUAGCGGCGGACGGGUGAGUAACACGUGGAUAACAUACCUAUAAGACUGGGAUAACUUCGGGAAACCGGAGCUAAUACCGGAUAAUAUUUUGAACCGCAUGGUUCAAAAGUGAAAGACGGUCUUGCUGUCACUUAUAGAUGGAUCCGCGCUGCAUUAGCUAGUUGGUAAGGUAACGGCUUACCAACGCAACGAUGCAUAGCCGACCUGAGAGGGUGAUCGGCCACACUGGAUCAGAGACACGGUCCAGACUCCUACGGGAGGCAGCAGUAGGGAAUCUUCCGCAAUGGGCGAGAGCCUGACGGAGCAACGCCGCGUGAGUGAUGAAGGUCUUCGGAUCGUAAAACUCUGUUAGUAGGGAAGAACAUAUGUGUAAGUAACUGUGCACAUCUUGACGGUACCCAAUCAGAAAGCCACGGCUAACUACGUG